rnacentral:rRNA from 1 species
UGCAACUCGCCUACAUGAAGUCGGAAUUGCUAGUAAUCGCGGAUCAGCAUGCCGCGGUGAAUACGUUCCCGGGCCUUGUACACACCGCCCGUCACACCAUGGGAGUCGGUAACACCCGAAGCCUGUAGUCUAACCGCAAGGGGACGCAGUCGAAGGUGGGAUUGAUGACUGGGGUGAAGUCGUAACAAGGUAGC